GCCUGCCUUGCCACCCCUCAGUUUUUUUGGGGGAAGGAAGUAAUUUGGGAUAUUAUUAUUUGGGGUUAACUCUUGGGUAUUUUUGUGGUGCCUCUGGAGGCAUGUACCUAUAAUUGUGCAAACUUGGUGGUAAUGAAACAAUGUUUGAUAAAUGUCUGAAUUCUGUAGUUUGUAUGCAUUUUGGGAAUAUUUUUUUAGUAAACAAAUUGUACCCUAAAAUGCCUUUAGUGAAUCCCCGAACUUCAAAUUUCAAAUACAGUCCUGAGAUUUUCCCCAAAUUUUGCACAUUUAAUCCUAACAAGAGAGUUCAAGAGACAUAGUUACUAGCCAGAGAUCAGAUGACCUGAUGGAUUAAAUCAGACUAAGUAGCUGUGCAGUGGUAAAAUGUUAAUGCAUUCCUUUUAAAUUGAUAAAUUAAAAAAAAAAGUUUGUUACUCACUUACAAGUCAGCAGAGACAGCCGACUUAGGAGAGCAGCAUGUAUUUUUAAUAUAUUCUGGAAAAACUAAGGAAAUAAAUUAACAAAUCAACCAAAAAUUUAAGUGAGUAAAUUUUUCAGUUGAUUGCAGGCUCUUUCUUAAAAUACUACUCCCAGC